CCUCCUCAACCUGAUUUUGGAGAGUGUCUGGAGGAUAGCCACCUGAUGAUCUGAAGCAGUGAGGCAUCUCAGAGCUCAGUCAUUUGCCAACUGCCCGCAUGGUUUGGGACAGACUCUUGUGCCACCCCACAGUUCUUCAGAUCUUGUUGAAGACAGAGAUUCUGAUUCAGAUGAAGUCGGCGUUUGGCCUGUGCGUCUGAAGGCUGUGUGCACGCCAGUUGCCCAAGUUUCCAGGUCCCAGCACUUUGACGCCAUGUAGUUCUACGAAGCAGUUUUGGCGCAGUCAUUUUGAUUAACAUCAACCUUGCUUAUGUUGAGAGUCGUGUGUCUUCUGCCAGCUUCUGGGAAUGCAGACAUACCUCAGAGAUAUUACGGGUUUUGUUCCAGACCACCACCACCACCACAGUAAAGCGAGUCUCGCGAUUAAACGAGUCGUAACGUUUUGCUGGUGGAGCGCCUUGCCUUCAAUUUUAAAACACGCAACAUCUGUGAUGCGCAGUAAAGAGAAGCACGAGAUAUCGAGGUAUGCCCGUAGCAACCGGCUAAUUUAUUACCUUGUAGGUAGGGUAAAGGCAAAUCAA